rnacentral:rRNA from 1 species
AAUGAACGUUGGCGGCGUGGAUUAGGCAUGCAAGUCGCGCGAGAAGUCAUUUAGCUUGCUAAAAGACGGACAGCGGCGGAAGGGAGAGUAACGCGUGGUUAUGUACCCUCGAGACCGGGAUAGUGUCGGGAAACUGGCAGUAAUACCGGAUAACAUCUUCGGAUCAAAUGGUGUGAUUCCGCUCGAGGAUCGGACCGCGUACUAUUAGCUAGUUGGAGGGGUAAUGGCCCACCAAGGCUUAGAUGGUUACCGGGUGUGAGAGCAUGGCGCGGCUCACUGGGACUGAGACACUGCCCAGACAUCUACGGAUGGCUGCAGUCGAGAAUCUUCGGCAAUGGACGAAAGUCUGACCGAGCGACGCCGCGUGCGGGAUGAAGGCCUUCGGGUUGUAAACCGCUGUCAGUUAGGAGGAAAUCCAUGAGGGUUCUCUCACAUGGUUGACCGAUUUUCAGAGGAAGGACGGGCUAAGUUCGUGCCAGCCGCCGCCGUAACAC